rnacentral:rRNA from 1 species
GAACGAACGCUGGCGGCAUGCCUAACACAUGCAAGUCGAACGAGACCUUCGGGUCUAGUGGCGCACGGGUGCGUAACGCGUGGGAACCUGCCCUUAGGUUCGGAAUAACUCCCCGAAAGGGGUGCUAAUACCGGAUAAUGUCUUCGGACCAAAGAUUUAUCGCCUUUGGAUGGGCCCGCGUUGGAUUAGCUAGUUGGCAGGGUAAAAGCCUACCAAGGCGACGAUCCAUAGCUGGUCUGAGAGGAUGAUCAGCCACACUGGGACUGAGACACGGCCCAGACUCCUACGGGAGGCAGCAGUGGGGAAUAUUGGACAAUGGGCGAAAGCCUGAUCCAGCAAUGCCGCGUGAGUGAUGAAGGCCUUAGGGUUGUAAAGCUCUUUUACCCGGGAUGAUAAUGACAGUACCGGGAGAAUAAGCUCCGGCUAACUCCGUG